UCUUGGUCCAUAGAGACAAUGAUAUUGCCACAUAUCUCAUAUCUAACUGUAACUGAGACUGAUUCUUGUUUAUGUUUCUCUUUCUCGACGGCUCUGACAUUGGAACAUAGUGGAUAAACCACAAAGGCACCAAAGCUGCCAAAGACUGUAUGAGAAUUCCUCCAGUUGAAGCAAUGAAAGAGGUGACUGAUCCUUCACAGCCUCCAGGGCACAUAUUUGCUAGCAA